rnacentral:misc_RNA from 1 species
CUAAGAGAAAAAGUCGAGCGAAUCGAUGGGAGCUUGCUCCCUGAGAUUAGUCCCGGACGGGUGAGUAACACGUGGGUAACCUGCCUGUAAGACUGGGAUAACUUCGGGAAACCGGAGCUAAUACCGGAUAUGUUCUUUUCGCGAAUGAUGGAACAUUGAAAGAUGGUUUCGGCUAUGAUUUACUUGUGGGUGAGGUGACCGUUCACUAGUGGGAGAAGUAACAGCUCGUCAAAGCAGAUAAUCGUCCCCGAUGGGACAGGGUGAUCGGCCACAUUGGGACUGAAAGCCGGCCUGAUC